GGGAAGUUGAGGCUGCAAUGAGCUGUGAUCGUGCCAUUGCACCCUAGCCUGGGCAACAGAGCAAGGUCCCUUCUCAAAAAAUAAAAGAAGGGGGAUUCUUUCCUGCAAGUCCCGGUACCCCCUCCUGAUUAGUUUUACCCCAUUAAUUUUAGGAGCUUCUGGAAGAGGUGAAGAAGGAAUUGCAGAAAGUGAAAGAGGAAAUCAUUGAAGCCUUCGUCCAGGAGCUGAGGAAGCGGGGUU
rnacentral:sRNA from 1 species